CUAUACAUGCAAGUAGAACGCUGAAGAGAGGAGCUUGCUCUUCUUGGAUGAGUUGCGAACGGGUGAGUAACGCGUAGGUAACCUGCCUUGUAGCGGGGGAUAACUAUUGGAAACGAUAGCUAAUACCGCAUAACAAUGGAUGACACAUGUCAUUUAUUUGAAAGGGGCAAUUGCUCCACUACAAGAUGGACCUGCGUUGUAUUAGCUAGUAGGUGAGGUAACGGCUCACCUAGGCGACGAUACAUAGCCGACCUGAGAGGGUGAUCGGCCACACUGGGACUGAGACACGGCCCAGACUCCUACGGGAGGCAGCAGUAGGGAAUCUUCGGCAAUGGGGGCAACCCUGACCGAGCAACGCCGCGUGAGUGAAGAAGGUUUUCGGAUCGUAAAGCUCUGUUGUAAGUCAAGAACGAGUGUGAGAGUGGAAAAUUCACACUGUGACGGUAGCUUACCAGAAAGGGACGGCUAACUACGUGCCAGCAGCCGCGGUAAUACGUAGGUCCCGAGCGUUGUCCGGAUUUAUUGAGCGUAAAGCGAGCGCAGGCGGUUUGAUAAGUCUGAAGUUAAAGGCUGUGGCUCAACCAUAGUUCGCUUUGGAAACUGUCAAACUUGAGUGCAGAAGGGGAGAGUGGAAUUCCAUGUGUAGCGGUGAAAUGCGUAGAUAUAUGGAGGAACACCGGUGGCGAAAGCGGCUCUCUGGUCUGUAACUGACGCUGAGGCUCGAAAGCGUGGGGAGCGAACAGGAUUAGAUACCCUGGUAGUCCACGCCGUAAACGAUGAGUGCUAGGUGUUGGAUCCUUUCCGGGAUUCAGUGCCGCAGCUAACGCAUUAAGCACUCCGCCUGGGGAGUACGACCGCAAGGUUGAAACUCAAAGGAAUUGACGGGGGCCCGCACAAGCGGUGGAGCAUGUGGUUUAAUUCGAAGCAACGCGAAGAACCUUACCAGGU
rnacentral:rRNA from 1 species